rnacentral:tRNA from 1 species
GUCAGGAUCGCCGAGCGGUCUAAGGCGCUGCGUUCAGGUCGCAGUCUCCCCUGGAGGCGUGGGUUUGAAUCCCACUUCUGACA